AACGAACGCUGGCGGCAUGCCUAACACAUGCAAGUCGAACGAGACCUUCGGGUCUAGUGGCGCACGGGUGCGUAACGGGUGGGAAUCUGUCCUUGGGUUUGGAAUAACAGUUAGAAAUGACUGCUAAUACCGGAUGAUGACGUAAGUCCAAAGAUUUAUCGGCCAAGGAUGAGCCCGCGUAGGAUUAGCUUGUUGGUGAGGUAAAAGCUCACCAAGGCGACGAUCCUUAGCUGGUCUGGGAGGAUGAUCAGCCACACUGGGGCUGAGACACGGCCCAGACUCCUACGGGAGGCAGCAGUGGGGAAUAUUGGACAAGGGGCGAAAGCCUGAUCCAGCAAUGCCGCGUGAGUAAUGAAGGCCUUAGGGUUGUAAAGCUCUUUUACCCGGGAUGAUAAUGACAGUACCGGGAGAAUAAGCCCCGGCUAACUCCGUGCCAGCCGCCGCGGUAAUAC
rnacentral:rRNA from 1 species